GAAUUAGCUGGCUUCGGCCGCUCUGAUCUAUACACACCUGUGAACUGUUGGCCUUCGGGUCUUUAAAUACAACCGUGACGAACGUAAAUUAUUAUAACAAAUAAAACUUUUAACAACGGAUCUCUUGGCUCU
rnacentral:misc_RNA from 1 species